CCAGACUCCUACGGGAGGCAGCAGUGGGGAAUCUUGCACAAUGGGGGAAACCCUGAUGCAGCGACGCCGCGUGAGCGAUGAAGCCCUUCGGGGUGUAAAGCUCUUUCGGCGGGGAAGAUUAUGACGGUACCUGCAGAAGCAGCUGCGGCUAACUACGUGCCAGCAGCCGCGGUAAUACGUAGGCAGCGAGCGUUGUUCGGAGCUACUGGGCGUAAAGGGUGCGUAGGCGGUUGUUUAAGUUUGGUGUGAAAUCUCCCGGCUCAACCGGGAGGGUGCGCCGAAUACUGAAUGACUAGAGUGCGGGAGAGGAGAGUGGAAUUCCUGGUGUAGCGGUGAAAUG
rnacentral:rRNA from 1 species